AGACUUCUGAAGCUGGCACCUCAUAACCGCAGGCCCUGCCUGGAGCUUCCCCGGUCAGUCCACGAGGAACAGGCUGAUCACGGGCGGGAAACACACCUACAAAGUGUCCAUCACAGCUGACAAAGGAAUGGAACAGUAAAAGACCCUGGAGUCCAUCAGGACUGAAGUAAAUCCCCUCCUUACCCCCCAUUUUGCCUAUAUCUUCCUCAAGAUUCUGCAAUCCUUGAAGAUGGGUUUUUGAGACAUUAAUCUGCCAUCUUCCUGAUUGUGACAGCUAAUUGAAUUAAAU
rnacentral:lncRNA from 1 species